rnacentral:rRNA from 1 species
GACGAACGCUGGCGGCGUGCUUAACACAUGCAAGUCGAACGGAAAGGCCCUGCUUUUGUGGGGUGCUCGAGUGGCGAACGGGUGAGUAACACGUGAGUAACCUGCCCUUGACUUUGGGAUAACUUCAGGAAACUGGGGCUAAUACCGGAUAGGAGCUCCUGCUGCAUGGUGGGGGUUGGAAAGUUUCGGCGGUUGGGGAUGGACUCGCGGCUUAUCAGCUUGUUGGUGGGGUAGUGGCUUACCAAGGCUUUGACGGGUAGCCGGCCUGAGAGGGUGAUCGGCCACAUUGGGACUGAGAUACGGCCCAGACUCCUACGGGAGGCAGCAGUGGGGAAUAUCGCACAAUGGGCGGAAGCCUGAUGCAGCAACGCCGCGUGCGGGAUGACGGCCUUCGGGUUGUAAACCGCUUUCGCCUGUGACGAAGCGUGAGUGACGGUAAUGGGUAAAGAAGCACCGGCUAACUACGUG